rnacentral:lncRNA from 1 species
GUUUCUCUGUGUAGCCCUGGCUGUCCUGGAACUCACUUUGUAGACCAGGCUGGCCUCGAACUGAGAAAGCCACCUGCCUCUGCCUCCCAAGUGCUGGGAUUAAAGGCGUGCACCACUACUGCCUGGCGAUUUCUCAUUUUCUGAUGUAGGCAGUUAGUGCUAGAACUUGCCUUCACUCUGUCCCAUUGGUUUUCUGUGUUUUCAUUUUCAUCCAAUUCUAAAGUGUUUUUAACUUUCUUCUUGACUUCUGUCUUGACCCAGUUUUCAUUUUACAAAGACUUGUUGAGCUUCCAUGAGUUUCUAUACUUUAUAUAGCUUGAUUGUUAUUGAUAUCCAGCUUUAAUCCACGGUGGUCAGAUAGGUUUCAGGACGUUAUGCCAGUUCUCUUACAUCUGUUGAAAGUUGUUUUAUGUCCUAAUAUGUGUUCAAUUCCAUGAGUUGCUGAGGAGAAAGUAUAUUCUUUGGUGUUUGGUGGAAUGUUCUGUGGAUAACUUUAGGUCCAUUUGACUUAUGGUUUUUUUAACUCCAUCAUUUACCUGUCUAUUGGUAAGUGUGGGGUAUUGAAGUCAUCCACUAUCGCUAUAUGAGGAUCAAUUAGUGCUUUUAGCUGUAGUAGUCUUUCUUUUAUGAACUUUGGUCAGGAAGGAUACUGUAAACCAUCACUUGCCCCCCCCCCCCCAGCCAAGCAUCUGUACUAAGGAGGUGCCUGGUAGGAAGUGUUCCUGGGGUUUAGUGGGUGAAAUGAAGAAACGGAGAUAGGAUGGAAGGGAAGGCUGAGAGAGGCAGCCAGAAAGAGCUCAUGGGCCCCUGAAUCUUGGUGGAAUCACAGCCCAGCCGGAAACGAAACUGAUUUCUGUUCAGUCUACAAUUACUCCGCUUAAACCAUGAAUACUCUUCGAGUUCCUAAAAUGCUCUGCUAAGAUAUUUAGAAGAUGAUAAGGAUGAUUUAGGAACGGGGAAGGACACCCAUGACAGUAGGACAGAAAGCCACACUCACCCCAAGAAGCACAUAGAGUCAACGGUUUGCCUUUUCUUUGAAAUUUAAGCGUUUACAACUACAUCUCCCUCUGCAAAAUAGAGAAUUGUAAACAAUGGAGGUCCUUUCAUUCCCUGAUUUGGUUUGUAAGGUAGACUGAUCCAAUCAGCAUCUCCUGUGAGCUACGUGAUCCCAGGCUCAGCACGACAGCCUACAAGAUGCCCGUGGCCUGCUUCCUGGGUGCGCCCAUGGAGGUCAUCUUUGUUUAUGUUCUCACACCUGGGAUUUUAGUAUUAUUGACAUAAACUUCGCAGUUGAUCCCCACCCAGCCCAGUAAACACACAGCACAGGUGUGUUAUAUAUCCAAACACUGAUGCCAACAGAGUUUCUCAAGCUUACAUCAGAAUUUACCAGUAAAGAUUACUUACUCUGCUUGCCUGGCAUGGGCAAAGUUGUUUAUGCUCAUAGCCACACAUAACCAUACUUUAUUCCUGGUGCAUCACAGGUAUCUAAAAUGAAGGUCUACACAUCAUUCCUUCAUAGAACUCUUCCCCUCCUCUAUGUGGAGUCAUUUCAUUAGUUUUUCUAUGGAUAUAUACAUUUCUAGUAUCCUCCUCACAAUUCUUUCCUUGUUCAUAUUCUGGUCCUGGAUCAAAAUAAAAUCCUAGGCAUCACAGGUGUUGAUUACAUUAUUUUGAUUUCUUAUAGAGUUAUCUAGUUUCCAUUACACUAAAACCAUACAAAACAGUGUGCUGAAUCGCCUAUUUAUGUCAUUUGUACCAUGACUUGAUAUUUUGUUUAUGUCUUAGAAGAACUUUUAGUUUUGUUAAUAAUCUGGAAGAAUUUCCCUUAGCUUUGGAUGCUAAAAAGUUUCGGUUUUCCUUGGACAUAAAGGAAUUAGAUUUUGUGCUUCUGUCUGCACUAGCACUGGGAAAGCUCAGAUCUGAAAACUGUGUGAGGUUAUUAAUAAUUGCACAUCACAAAUGAGCAUAUCACUACUGUCCUUUGAUUUUGACUUUAACUAUGUUUGUUGUGAUAUAUAAUAAAAAUAGAAAUAAUAAAAAAAAUAAAAGUACACCUGCAAACUCUCGAACAACAAGAGCAGAUAUUUGGGUAUUAUUAAACAAAGUGGAAAAAUAACUUCUGUAGGUCAGCC